AUUGAACGCUAGCGGGAUGCUUUACACAUGCAAGUCGAACGGCAGCACGAGGAGCUUGCUCCUUGGUGGCGAGUGGCGGACGGGUGAGUAAUAUAUCGGAAUGUGCCCAGUAGCGGGGGAUAACUACUCGAAAGGGUGGCUAAUACCGCAUACGCCUACCGGGGGAAAGGGGGGGGAAGGUCUUCGGACCUCUCACUAUUGGUAGCAGCCGAUAUCAGAUUAGCUAGUUGGUUGGGGG
rnacentral:rRNA from 1 species